rnacentral:rRNA from 1 species
UACGGGGGGAGCAAGCGUUGUUCGGAUUUACUGGGCGUAAAGGGCGCGUAGGCGGCCACUGCAAGUCAAUUGUGAAAUCUCCGGGCUUAACUCGGAAAGGUCAACUGAUACUGCAGGGCUAGAGUGCGGAAGGGGCAACUGGAAUUCUCGGUGUAGCGGUGAAAUGCGUAGAUAUCGAGAGGAACACCUGCGGCGAAGGCGGGUUGCUGGGCUGACACUGACGCUGAACUGCGAAAGCUAGGGGAGCGAACGGG